ensembl:snoRNA
CUGGCCCUGAAUUAAGGCCGGCAGUUUUCUGAAGCUGUUGGUUUCAAGCAGGAGCCUAAAGAGAUGUCUUUCUAUGGUCUGUUGGCCAUUUCAGAACUUGGUAAAUGGAAUGGUCAAUUCAUUAGAAAGAAACAGUA